rnacentral:rRNA from 1 species
UACGUAGGGUGCAAGCGUUAAUCGGAAUUACUGGGCGUAAAGCGUGCGCAGGCGGUGAUGUAAGACAGAUGUGAAAUCCCCGGGCUUAACCUGGGAACUGCAUUUGUGACUGCAUAGCUAGAGUACGGUAGAGGGGGAUGGAAUUCCGCGUGUAGCAGUGAAAUGCGUAGAUAUGCGGAGGAACACCGAUGGCGAAGGCAGCCCCCUGGGUCAAGAUUGACGCUCAUGCACGAAAGCGUGGGGAGCAAACAGG